CUAUGGCGUGCAUCAGUCGAGAAUUUCUUUGCUGGGACACGGUUGCGCUGAAUCCUCUUUUGUUUUGAUCCAUGCUUUGUCUGCUACUACCAACCUACUUACCUGCCUGCUGCCCGCCUUGCUCUGCUUACCUGCCCUGUUUAUCUAUCGGCUGGAAUCCCGUCUCAUCCACCUCAAAACAGAGCCUCGGCCUGCAGAGCGACCUGAUGUUCUCUGAGAUCGCACGCAGGAUCAGAGACGGCGGUCAGGAGCUGGUGAAGAAGGUCAACGCUGUGUUCGGAUGGAGAUCAGCAAAAACGACAGAACCAUCCGAGAGUGGAGUGAACCAGAAUAUCAUUCAUUUCUCUUAACACAA